UGUACACGAAAAAAAAACGCAAAUCGAUGUACCUACAGUUUAGCCGUUUGGCACACGCAUACUAGAGGUCAAAACAAAAUUUUUGGCCCGCAAUUCUUUAAAAAAAUCCUUUAGGAUGGGAGUGCUGUCUCAUUUUUUUUUAUGGAAAAAAAAAAUGUUUUUUUUUUUCAGAAACCUAUCGCGUAUGACGUUUUAAGGCAAUUCUAAAAAUUUCUGUAGUAGGUAAAAAAAAAUUCUAAAAAUAUACCACGUCAUUACAUUUCAGCCAUGACUUUAAAUUAAAACAAAUAAGUUUCAAAACAUACCAAGAUUGGGCUCCUCCAGAUACGAUAUGGCACAAAUGAUACGUAAUAUCUAACCCCAAGAAAGCAAUUUUAAAAAUAAUAUCAUUUGUGACAUUAUCUAUGAAAAGGGACCUUAUUGUCGGUGGCGCUUACGCCAUUAUCAACGAUGCUCCUAUAUUCUAAACAACGUCUAAGCGCCAUCGUCAUAGAUAAUGUCACAUUUAGUUCGUCGUCAUAGAUAAUGUCGCGUUCAUAGAUAAUGUCACAUUUCGUUUUUAGGGUUUCGUAGCCAAAUGGCAAAAAACGGAACCCUUAUAGAUUCGUCAUGUCCGUCUGUCCGAUUAUGUCACAGCCACUUUUUUCCGAAACUAUAAGAGCUAUACUGUUCAAACUUGGUAAGUAGAUGUAUUC